rnacentral:misc_RNA from 1 species
AGCUUCAAUUAAAGUCUGUUAGAAGUAUUGCUAAGGUUGUUGGGACAAUUAUAUGCGUUGGAGGAGCUGUUUUCAUGGCAUUUUACAAAGGCCCAAAGCUGCUAAACACAAGCAUCCAAUUUCAUUCAUUAUCCUCAAUUUUAAGUUUGCUCAGUGAUCAGUGGAUGCUUGGUUUCAUUUACCUUACGGGAGCCACUUGUUGCGG